rnacentral:rRNA from 1 species
GUCACACCUGUUCCCAUGCCGAACACAGAAGUUAAGCUCUUGAACGCCGAUGGUAGUUGGGACUUUGUCCCUGUGAGAGUAGGACGUUGCCAGGC